GACGAACGCUGGCGGCGUGCUUAACACAUGCAAGUCGAACGGAAAGGCCUUUUUGGCGGUACUCGAGUGGCGAGCGGGUGAGUAUCACACGGGUGAUCUGCCCUCCACUCUGGGAUAUGCCUGUGGGACUGGGUCUAAUACCGGAUAGGGCCGCGCUCUCGUGUGGGUGGUGGUAAGUUUUUUCGGUGUAGGUUGAGCCCGCGGGCUAUCAGUUUGUUGGUGGGGUAAUGGCCUACCAAGGAGGCGGCGGGUAGGCGGGCGGGGGGGGUGGACGGCCACAUUUGGGCCGGGGACCGGCCCAGGCCCCCACGGGGGGCAAGAGGGGGGAAAAAUGCACAAAGGGGGGAAGCCUGGAGCAAGGACGCCGCGUGGGGGAUGACGGGCUUCGGGUUGUAAACUCCUUUCGCCAGGGACGAAGCGGUUUGUGACGGUACCUGGAGAAGAAGCACCGGCUAACUACGUG
rnacentral:rRNA from 1 species